UCGAGCGGUAGGCCUUUCGGGGUACACGAGNNNNNAACGGGUGAGUAACACGUGGGUGAUCUGCCCUGCACUUCGGGAUAAGCCUGGGAAACUGGGUCUAAUACCGGAUAUGACCUCCUAUCGCAUGGUGGGUGGUGGAAAGAUUUAUCGGUGCAGGAUGGGCCCGCGGCCUAUCAGCUUGUUGGUGGGGUAAUGGCCAACCAAGGCGACGACGGGCAGCCGACCUGAGAGGGUGACCGGCCACACUGGGACUGAGACACGGCCCAGACUCCUACGGGAGGCAGCAGUGGGGAAUAUUGCACAAUGGGCGAAAGCCUGAUGCAGCGACGCCGCGUGAGGGAUGACGGCCUUCGGGCUGUAAACCUCUUUCAGCAGGGACGAAGCGCAAGUGACGGUACCUGCAGAAGAAGCACCGGCUAACUACGUGCCAGCAGCCGCGGUAAUACGUAGGGUGCAAGCGUUGUCCGGAAUUACUGGGCGUAAAGAGUUCGUAGGCGGUUUGUCGCGUCGUUUGUGAAAACCAGCAGCUCAACUGCUGGCUUGCAGGCGAUACGGGCAGACUUGAGUACUGCAGGGGAGACUGGAAUUCCUGGUGUAGCGGUGAAAUGCGCAGAUAUCAGGAGGAACACCGGUGGCGAAGGCGGGUCU
rnacentral:rRNA from 1 species